UACGUAGGGUGCAAGCGUUAUCCGGAAUUAUUGGGCGUAAAGAGCUCGUAGGCGGUUUGUCGCGUCUGCUGUGAAAACUGGAGGCUCAACCUCCAGCCUGCAGUGGGUACGGGCAGACUAGAGUGCGGUAGGGGAGAUUGGAAUUCCUGGUGUAGCGGUGGAAUGCGCAGAUAUCAGGAGGAACACCGAUGGCGAAGGCAGAUCUCUGGGCCGGUACUGACGCUGAGGAGCGAAAGCGUGGGGAGCAAACAGG
rnacentral:rRNA from 1 species